GUGCUCGCUUCAGCAGCACUUACAUUAAAAUUGGAAUGAUACAGAGAAGAUUAGCAUGGCCCCUGCACAAGGAUGACAUGCAAAUUCGUGAAGCGUUCCGUUAAAAA